rnacentral:rRNA from 1 species
CGUACACACGUGCUACAAUGGCCGGUACAAAGAGUUGCAAUACCGCGAGGUGGAGCUAAAUCUCAUAAAGCCGGUCUCAGUUCGGAUUGGAGUCUGCAACUCGACUCCAUGAAGUUGGAAUCGCUAGUAAUCGCGGAUCAGCACGCCGCGGUGAAUACGUUCCCGGGCCUU